rnacentral:rRNA from 1 species
AAUGAACGCUGGCGGCGUGUCUUAAGCAUGCAAGUCGUGCGGCAAGGGUAGCAAUACCCCUAGAGCGGCGGACUGGUGAGUAACGCGUGGGUGAUCUGCCUCCGGGAUGGGGAUAGCCACUAGAAAUAGUGGGUAAUACCGAAUACGUUCACCGAACUGUGGUUUGGUGAGGAAAGGCGCUUCGGCGCCACCCGGAGAUGAGCCCGCGUCCCAUUAGCUAGUUGGUGAGGUAAAAGCCCACCAAGGCGAUGAUGGGUAGGCGGCCUGAGAGGGUGUACGCCCACACUGGGACUGAGAUACGGCCCAGACUCCUACGGGGGGCAGCAGUAGGGAAUUUUCGGCAAUGGGCGAAAGCCUGACCGAGCGACGCCGCGUGAGGGACGAAGGCCUUCGGGUUGUAAACCUCUGUCUGGGGGAUGAGAACGGACGGUACCCCGGAGGAAGCCCGGCUAACUACGUG